UGCCAGCCGCCGCGGUAAUACGAAGGGACCUAGCGUAGUUCGGAAUCACUGGGCGUAAAGAGCAUGUAGGCUGGUUUGUAAGUUGGAAGUGAAAUCCUAUGGCUUAACCAUAGAACUGCUUCCAAAACUGCAGACCUAGAGUAUGGGAGAGGUAGAUGGAAUUUCUGGUGUAGGGGUAAAAUCCGUAGAGAUCAGAAGGAAUACCGAUUGCGAAGGCGAUCUACUGGAACAUAACUGACGCUGAGAUGCGAAAGCGUGGGGAGCAAACAGGAUUAGAUA
rnacentral:rRNA from 1 species